rnacentral:rRNA from 1 species
CCUACGGGAGGCAGCAGUGAGGAAUAUUGGUCAAUGGACGCGAGCCUGAACCAGCCAAGUAGCGUGAAGGAUGACUGCCCUACGGGUUGUAAACUUCUUUUAUAAAGGAACAAAGUGAGGCACGUGUGCCUUUUUGUAUGUAUUUUAUGAAUAAGGAUCGGCUAACUCCGUGCCAGCAGCCGCGGUAAUACGGAGGAUCCGGGCGUUAUCCGGAUUUAUUGGGUUUAAAGGGAGCGUAGAUGGGUUGUUAAGUCAGGUGUGAAAGUUUGCGGCUCAACCGUAAAAUUGCAAUUGAUACUGGCAGCCUUGAGUACGGUUGAGGUAGGCGGAAUUCGUGGUGUAGCGGUGAAAUGCUUAGAUAUCACGAAGAACUCCGAUUGCGAAGGCAGCCUACUAGACUGCCACUGACAUUGAUGCUCGAAAGUGUGGGUAUCAAACAGGAUUAGAUACCCGAGUAGUC